AGAAAUAUGGAUUGUGUGUAGUAAGUGCCAGACAAACACCGGGAGUGGUGUGUGAUUGUGUGUGUGUAAGUAUGACAGGCUCCAAGCCUGCUGGAGAAUUUUCUUGCUAUGUGUGUACCAUCAUCAUCAUCAUUCAAAGGUUAAGGGGACGCAAUUGCCAGUGACUGUCCUGUUUGUCUGUAUCAUUCAGUAAUCAUAGAAUCAUAGAAUCAUAGAGUUGGAAGAGACCACAAGGGCCAUCGAGUCCAACCCCCUGCCAAGCAGGAACACCAUCAGAGCACUCCUGACAUAUGGUUGUCAAGCCUCUGCUUAAAGACCUCCAAAGAAGGAGACUCCACCACACUCCUUGGCAGCAAAUUCCACUGUCGAACAGCUCUUACUGUCAGGAAGUUCUUCCUAAUGUUUAGGUGGAAUCUUCUUUCUUGUAGUUUGGAUCCAUUGCUCCGUGUCCGCUUCUCUGGAGCAGCAGAAAACAACCUUUCUCCCUCCUCUAUGUGACAUCCUUUGAUAUAUUUGAACAUGGCUAUCAUAUCACCCCUUAACCUCCUCUUCUCCAGGCUAAACAUGCCCAGCUCUCUUAGCCGUUCCUCAUAAGGCAUCGUUUCCAGGCCUUUGACCAUUUUGGUUGCCCUCCUCUGGACACGUUCCAGUUUGUCAAUGUCCUUCUUGAACUGUGGUGCCCAGAACUGGACACAGUACUCCAGGUGAGGUCUGACCAGAGCAGAAUACAGUGGCACUAUUACUUCCCUUGAUCUAGAUGCUAUACUCCUAUUGAUGCAGCCCAGAAUUGCAUUGGCUUUUUAGCUGCCGCGUCACACUGUUGGCUCAUGUCAAGUUUGUAGUCAACCAAGACUCCUAGAUCCUUUUCACAUGUACUGCUCUCAAGCCAGGUGUCCCCCAUCUUGUAUUUGUGCCUCUCAUUUUUUUGCCCAAGUGCGAUACUUUACAUUUCUCCUGUUAAAAUUCAUCUUGUUUGUUUUGGCCCAGUUCUCUAAUCUGUCAAGGUCGUUUUGAAGUGUGAUCCUGUCCUCUGGGGUGUUAGCCACCCCUCCCAAUUUGGUGUCAUCUGCAAAUUUGAUCAGGAUGCUCUUGAGUCCAUCAUGCAAAGGUCUGCAGUCCAUCACUCUCAGUGUUAAUGUUAUCAGGGAACAGGUCCUCCUACACUUUUGAAAAAGUGGUCUAGAGCAGCCGAUUUAAGAAGAAAGGUUUGUGGGGGUAGCAACUUACUUCAGGGGAGCAAAUUCUUAUCUGGCCAAAUGUCUAGUCUAGACAAUCGUUUUGACUGCACAUUUUUAGGCUACUGUUCCACACAUACUCAUUGAGCACAGUGGGAUCUGUUUCUGAAUAAGCAUGCAAAGGAUUAGGCUGUGAGUUGGUUUCCUCUGUGCCCUACAUUGUGUGUGUCAAAGCAGACAUUAAAGAUAAUGACUGGGGAAAAUAGCUGCAAUCUGCAGUGUCAAAAGAUCAGUUUUUUUAAAGAGCAAAAAUAGAUAAUAUCACAGGCAAGAUUUUUAAAAGGGCUAUUUCAAAGCAUUACAGCCAACUUAAGAAAAUUACAGUCCCGCUUAUGGUUUCCUUUUUAGGGCAAAGCUAAUGGCUUCUGAAUCAGAUUGUUUCCUUUUCUCUUUAAGCUGAACUGUGACCCCCCCCAUAAAAGAUGGUAACACAUCCACAAAAUGUGGCAUCUCAAGACUGCACUCCGUACUAAAACAAGUAUAGGCACAGACAACAAACCCAGAAAAAUGUUGCCUUGCAGAAGACAAAUCCACCAGGCAUUGAUGUCACUUGGCUACUUUGACCUUGGUGGUGGCAACAAGUCCUACUGCCCCUCCAGUGUGAGAGUCUGCCACUGAGUCAACUAAUGAAGAAACAGCAUGUG